UACGUAGGGUGCGAGCGUUUAAUCGGAAUACUGGGCGUAAAGCGUGCGCAGGCGGUUCGUUGUGUCGGCGGUGAAAGCCCCGGGCUUAACCUGGGAAUGGCCGUUGAAACUGGCGAACUGGAGUGUGGCAGAGGGGGGUGGAAUUCCGCGUGUAGCAGUGAAAUGCGUAGAGAUGCGGAGGAACACCGAUGGCGAAGGCAGCCCCCCUGGGCUAACACUGACGCUCAGGCACGAAAGCGUGGGGAGCAAACAGG
rnacentral:rRNA from 1 species